rnacentral:sRNA from 1 species
AAAAACAGGUUUUACAAAUUUUGAUAACCUAAACCAUUUGAACUCUUUGGCAAAAAGAAAUAAAAAACAAAGAGUCAAUCGAAAACUGGGAAAAAACUUGGAAGUUUCAUCACAGUCACAACGCCAUUAACUUGCGAAAAGGGCGUCUGUUUCUUCUUGAGAUGAUAACGUUUUUUAUUUCGCGGUCGAUGCACUUGAAAAUAGAAGGCGGAGAGAGUGAAGUAGCGUUAUGCAGGACAUUGUUUCGCUGCUUCCAGAUGUGGAAGACCGUAGACUGAACGACGAUGUUUCUAAGAACCGAUGGAGCGGUUGUUUUUUUAUGAUGUGACUCUCCAUUUUUAU